rnacentral:rRNA from 1 species
UAGGGAAUAUUGCACAAUGGGCGAAAGCCUGAUGCAGCAACGCCGCGUGCGCGAAGAAGGCCUUCGGGUUGUAAAGCGCUUUCGGGGAGAUGAGGAAGGACAGUAUCCCCGGAAUAAGGCUCGGCUAACUACGUGCCAGCAGCCGCGGUAACACGUAGGAGCCAAGCGUUAUCCGAAUUCACUGGGCGUAAAGCGCGUGCAGGCGGCACGGCAAGUUGGAUGUGAAAGCUCCUGGCUCAACUGGGAGAGGACGUUCAAUACUGUCGAGCUAGAGGACGGCAGAGGGAGGUGGAAUUCCCGGUGUAGUGGUGAAAUGCGUAGAUAUCGGGAGGAACACCGAGUGGCGAAGGCGGCCUUCUGGGCCGUUUCUGACGCUCAGACGCGAAAGCUAGGGGAGCA